UACGUAGGGGGGCAAGCGUUGUCCGGAAUCAUUGGGCGUAAAGCGCGUGUAGGCGGCCAGAUAAGUCCGCUGUGAAAUCUCGAGGCUCAACUUCGAGCUGUCGGUGGAAACUGUCUGGCUAGAGUCCGGAAGAGGAGAAUGGAAUUCCUGGUGUAGCGGUGAAAUGCGCAGAUAUCAGGAAGAACACCCGUGGCGAAGGCGGCUCUCUGGGACGGUACUGACGCUGAGACGCGAAAGCGUGGGGAGCGAACAGG
rnacentral:rRNA from 1 species